rnacentral:rRNA from 1 species
AUUGAACGCUGGCGGCAUGCCUUACACAUGCAAGUCGAACGGCAGCACGGGGCAACCUGGUGGCGAGUGGCGAACGGGUGAGUAAUGCAUCGGAACGUACCUUUCAGUGGGGGAUAACGUAGCGAAAGUUACGCUAAUACCGCAUAUUCUGUGAGCAGGAAAGCAGGGGAUCGCAAGACCUUGCGCUGAUUGAGCGGCCGAUUGCAGCUUAGCUAGUUGGGGAGGUAAAGGCUCACCAAGGCGACGAUCUGUAGCGGGUCUGAGAGGAUGAUCCGGCACACUGGGACUGAGACACGGUCCAGACUCCUACGGGAGGCAGCAGUGGGGAAUUUUGGACAAUGGAGGCCACCCUGAUCCAGCCAUGCCGGGGGAGUGAAGAAGGCCUUCGGGUUGUUAAGCUCUUUCGGCCGGGAAGAAAUCGCACGGGCUAAUACCCUGUGUGGAUAACGGUACCGGAAUAAGAAGCACCGGCUAACUACGUGCCAGCCGCCGCCGUAAUAC